rnacentral:rRNA from 1 species
UCAUGGCUCAGAAUCAACGCUGGCGGCGUGCCUAACACCUGCAAGUCGAACGGGAAAGCACUUUUCGGAGUGCGAGUAUAGAGGCGAACGGGGGAGUAACGCGUGGGUGAUCUACCCUUGGGUGGGGGAUAACCCGGGUAAACCCGGGCUAAUACCGCAUACGCCUUUGUUUGUAAGGGACUGAAGGGAAAGUUUUUGGAUGCCGAAUGAGGAGCCCGCGUCCGAUUAGCUAGUUGGUGAGGUAAGGGCUCACCAAGGCGACGAUUGGUAACCGGUCUGACAGGACGGACGGUCACACUGGGACUGAUACACCGCCCAUACUCCUACGGGAGGUAGCAGUGGGGAAUUUUGGGAAAUGGGCGCAAGCCUGACCCGGCAACGCCGCGUGGAGGAUGAAGGUUUUCGGAUCGUAAACUCCUGUCUAGAGGGAAGAAGCAAGUGACGGCACCUCUGGAGGAAGCCCCGGCUAACUCCGUGCCAGCAGCCGCGGUAAUACGGGGGGGGCGAGCGUUGUUCGGAAUUACUGGCCGUAAAGCGCGCGUAAGCGGUUUCGGAAGUCAUGUGGGAAAGUCCUCGGCUCAACCGAGGGAUUGCCUGUGAUACCACGGGACUGGAGUGCUGGAGAGGUAAGCGGGAAUUCCCAGUGUAGCGUUGAAAUGCGUAGAUAUUGGAGGGAACACCCGUGGCGAAGGCGGCUUCCUGGACAGUCACUGACGCUGAGGCGCGAAAGCCAGGGGAGCGAACGGGAUUAGAUAGCCCGGUAGUCCUGGCUGUAAACGAUGAACACUUGGUGUGGGGGGUGAAGAAAGUCCCUCUGUGCCGGAGAGAACUCAUUAAGUGUUCCACGUGGGGAGUACGGCUGCAAGGCUGAACAUCAAAGGAAUUGACGGGGGCCCGCACAAGCGGUGGAGCAUGUGGUUUAAUUAGACGCAACGCGAAGAACCUUACCGGGGUUUGAACUGUACUCGAACGACCUAGAGAUGGGGAGGUUCCUUUCGGGGAUGGGUACAGAGGUGCGGCAUGGCUGUCGUCAGCUCGUGUCGUGAGAUGUUGGGUUAAGUCCCGCAACGAGCGCAACCCUUGUCUGUAGUUCCCAUCAGGUGAAGCUGGGCACUCUACGGAGACUGUCGCCGAGAAGCCGGAGGAAGGUGGGGAUGACGUCAAGUCCUCAUGGCCUUUAUGUCCCGGGCUACACACGUGCUACAAUGGGCGGUACAGAGGGCAGCGAACCUGUGAAGGCAAGCGAAUCCCAGAAAACCGCUCUCAGUUCGGAUUGCAGUCUGCAACUCGACUGCAUGAAGUUGGAAUCGCUAGUAAUCGCGGAUCAGAACGCCGCGGCGAAUACGUUCCCGGGCCUUGUACACACCGCCCCUCACAUCACGAAAGUGGGUUGUACUAGAAGCCGCCGGCCUAACCUUCGGGGAGGAGGCGUCGACGGUAUGGCUCAUGAUUGGGGUGAAGUAGGAACAAGGUAACC